AGAACCAAGUGACGUUACAGUCCAAAAAUAAUAAACACUAAUUUGGAUCAUGUUGGUGAUAAGUGUUAGCUCAAGGAGGUCAUUAAAAACAUUUAUUUGGCUACUUAGUAUUAAAAAAAACGGACGUCCUUGGAAAAUUUGACUACUAACUUUAAACCAAGUGUCCUUGUUUUCAUAUCAUUUCUUUGGGUAUGUUGGGUCAUUUUAACCACUGCAUCUUCUGCUCCCUCAUUAACCCCUCUUCAAAAUAAACUGGCUUGGUGUUGGGAAUAUACUACGAUCCAAAAUCCUGGACCUAACACUUUAAGGGAGAAAUUUUCUAUUGACUUUUUGUAUUGGGCCAGUCUGUAAGCAGCUUUGAUAUGGGUUUCUUUGGGGGAGAAUAAAAACAAAUGACUAAGAGGUAAAUGUUUUCUUUGAAUAUACCCCCCUCCCAAACUACAUUGAUUUUAUUAUUUCGGUAUUAAUAUUAAUGUACUAUUGUGAGCCACAGAGAGGCUUAGGAAGCAACAUAUGCAUUAUUAUAUAAAUAAAUGAAUAAAAUUACUGUACUUUAAACUGUUUUUUAAAGAAAUUAGGUCAUAGAUAACCUCAGUAUGAUGAUAGCCUACAUUCUGUGAAUAUUCUAACUAACAGUAGUACAGGGAGAUGAGAGUUCACGUGUUCAUGCACAAACACAGGCAAACCUUUCUCACCCUCUCCCUCAUGAAAAGACAAAAAAGGCAGUGAUCAGAGGAUUUAGGAGGGUGGGUUAAAUGUAGGCAAGAAAAGUCAACAUAUGUAUAUAUGCGAGGGAUAUGAAAAAGAGGGAGAGAAAUGGAAAGUAAACAAAUUCAACUGAAAUUACUUUGACAUUCCUGGGAAAUCUGUUUCUAAUUUUAAUUGUACCUCUGUUUGAGAUUUAUUGACAAAAUAAUAAAAGAAAUAACUUUCUAUGGCAGCAGGCAGUAGAAGGAUCCCAUUUGGGAAUAUGUUAAUUAUGUUUCUGUAUCUGUAAAUAAGAUGGGCAAAAAUGCAAAAUGCAAACAGUGUAACAAAGAAAUGCAAGCCCUAAGUGCCCAAAUGAAACAUCAUGAGGCCUCUUUGAAGACACUGAAAGCAAAAUGAGUCAAGUCUACAUAUGCAAGAUCUUCAGGAGAAUGCAUACAGGACUCUGGUAACUGACUACAUGCACCAUUUUCAGUGUCAACAUCACUGUACCAUUUUAGAAUUACCUGAUUAGUAUUAUUCCAAUUACAUCAAAUAUGUCAGAAAAAUAUAUUUGAAAAAGACUUUUAGCUGGAAAAAGAAGAAUAAAAGUCUACCAUCCCACAAGUAGGCACAGAUAAAUUUAUGAUAACAGAUUACAGCAAGAGGUAAUUGAUGAAAAAAGUAUCCUUUUUAUGCAGCAAACCCUCUUUUCCUUAUGGAUGAGAACACAUACAUCGUUGAUGCAAUUCAAUCUCUUUGACCAGGA